rnacentral:rRNA from 1 species
UAAGGAGUCGGACCUGCCCAGUGAAUUUUUUUUAACGGCCGCGGUACUCUGACCGUGCAAAGGUAGCAUAAUCAUUUGCCUUAUAAUUGAAGGCUAGUAUGAAUGGUUUGACAAGAAUAUAGCUGUCUCUCUAUAAUUUUAUAGAAUUUUAUUUUAAAGUGAAGAAGCUUUAAUAUAAUUAAAAGACAAGAAGACCCUAUCGAGCUUUAAAAAAAUCUUUAGAAACUAAUUAAUAAUUGAUUUUUAAAAAAUUAGCUAUUGAAUAUUUUGGUUGGGGCGACUAAGGAACAAACAAAGCUUCCUUUAAUAUAAAUAACGUUCAUGUGUUGAUCCAAAGUUUUUGAUUAAAGAAAUUAGUUACCGUAGGGAUAACAGCAUUAUCUUUUUUGAGAGCUCUUAUCGAAAAAAAGGUUUGUGACCUCGAUGUUGGACCAGAAUAUCCUAAAGAUGCAGAAGUCUUUAAGGGUUGGUCUGUUCGACCAUU